UACGAAGGGGGCUAGCGUUGCUCGGAAUUACUGGGCGUAAAGCGCGUGUAGGCGGCUUGGCAAGUUGAAUGUGAAAGCCCACGGCUCAACCGUGGAAGCGCAUCCAAAACUGCUUCGCUUGAGUCUCGGAGAGGAAGGUGGAAUGCUUGGUGUAGAGGUGAAAUUCGUAGAUAUCAAGCAGAACACCUGCGGCGAAGGCGGCCUUCUGGACGAUGACUGACGCUGAGACGCGAAAGCGUGGGGAGCAAACAGG
rnacentral:rRNA from 1 species